rnacentral:rRNA from 1 species
GGCGGCGUGCUUAACACAUGCAAGUCGAGCGGUAAGGCCCUUCGGGGUACACGAGCGGCGAACGGGUGAGUAACACGUGGGUAAUCUGCCCUGCACUCUGGGAUAAGCCUGGGAAACUGGGUCUAAUACCGGAUAUGACAACCUUGGGCAUCCAGGGUUGUGGAAAGUUCCGGCGGUGCAGGAUGGGCCCGCGGCCUAUCAGCUUGUUGGUGGGGUAAUGGCCUACCAAGGCGACGACGGGUAGCCGGCCUGAGAGGGCGACCGGCCACACUGGGACUGAGACACGGCCCAGACUCCUACGGGAGGCAGCAGUGGGGAAUAUUGCGCAAUGGGCGAAAGCCUGACGCAGCGACGCCGCGUGAGGGAUGACGGCCUUCGGGUUGUAAACCUCUUUCAGCAGGGACGAAGCGCAAGUGACGGUAGGUGCAGAAGAAGCACCGGCUAACUACGUGCCAGCAGCCGCGGUAAUACGUAGGGUGCGAGCGUUGUCCGGAAUUAUUGGGCGUAAAGAGCUCGUAGGCGGUUUGUUGCGUCGGCUGUGAAAACUCGGGGCUUAACUCUGAGCUUGCAGUCGAUACGGGCAGACUUGAGUUCGGCAGGGGAGACUGGAAUUCCUGGUGUAGCGGUGAAAUGCGCAGAUAUCAGGAGGAACACCGGUGGCGAAGGCGGGUCUCUGGGCCGAUACUGACGCUGAGGAGCGAAAGCGUGGGGAGCGAACAGGAUUAGAUACCCUGGUAGUCCACGCCGUAAACGUUGGGCGCUAGGUGUGGGGUCCAUUCCACGGCCUCCGUGCCGCAGCUAACGCAUUAAGCGCCCCGCCUGGGGAGUACGGCCGC